rnacentral:rRNA from 1 species
AUUGAACGCUGGCGGCAUGCUUUACACAUGCAAGUCGAACGGUAACAGGCCUUCGGGUGCUGACGAGUGGCGAACGGGUGAGUAAUGCAUCGGAACGUGCCCAGAGGUGGGGGAUAACGCAGCGAAAGCUGUGCUAAUACCGCAUGUGAUCUGAGGAUGAAAGCGGGGGACCAGGCAGCAAUGUUUGGCCUCGCGCCUUUGGAGCGGCCGAUGUCAGAUUAGGUAGUUGGUGGGGUAAAGGCCUACCAAGCCGACGAUCUGUAGCUGGUCUGAGAGGACGACCAGCCACACUGGGACUGAGACACGGCCCAGACUCCUACGGGAGGCAGCAGUGGGGAAUUUUGGACAAUGGGCGCAAGCCUGAUCCAGCAAUGCCGCGUGCGGGAAGAAGGCCUUCGGGUUGUAAACCGCUUUUGUACGGAACGAAAAGGCUCUGGCUAAUACCUGGGGCUGAUGACGGUACCGUAAGAAUAAGCACCGGCCAACUACGUG